GAUGAACGCUGGCGGCGUGCUUAACACAUGCAAGUCGAACGGAAAGGCCCAAGCUUGCUUGGGUACUCGAGUGGCGAACGGGUGAGUAACACGUGGGUGAUCUGCCCUGCACUUCGGGAUAAGCCUGGGAAACUGGGUCUAAUACCGGAUAGGACGAUGGUUUGGAUGCCAUUGUGGAAAGUUUUUUCGGUGUGGGAUGAGCUCGCGGCCUAUCAGCUUGUUGGUGGGGUAAUGGCCUACCAAGGCGUCGACGGGUAGCCGGCCUGAGAGGGUGUACGGCCACAUUGGGACUGAGAUACGGCCCAGACUCCGACGGGAGGCAGCAGUGGGGAAUAUUGGACAAUGGGCGCAAGCCUGAUGCAGCGACGCCGCGUGGGGGAUGACGGCCUUCGGGUUGUAAACUCCUUUCGCUAGGGACGAAGCGUUUUUGUGACGGUACCUGGAGAAGAAGCACCGGCUAACUACGUG
rnacentral:rRNA from 1 species